GCGCCCGUAGCUCAGGUGGAUAGAGCAGCGGUUUCCUAAACCGCGUGCCGGGAGUUCGAGUCUCUCCGAGCGCACCA
rnacentral:tRNA from 1 species